rnacentral:lncRNA from 1 species
GUUGUGUGCAAUUUCUGCUGAUGCGUCUUUCACCCUGGAUGGAGAUGCACUCUCUUGAAUAUCUUUCUUUUCUAGUACGCUAUGAGCUACUUAAGGACAGAGUAUUACCCCUGGGCUCCAGAACCCUGCCCAGCACAGAGUAGACACUCAGUAAAUUGAUUUCACCAUGUCAAAUAAAGUAGCGACAAGAAGACAGAAAAAAAAAAUGGUUAUCAAAGCCGAAAGGAGUGUCUUCAUGUACCUUGAUUGACAUUGUGAAAUCUCUGAGCAGCUGGUUUGAUUCUCAAGUCUACGGCAGAGGACAGCCUGUUGCAAACCUCCAAAGGUUUCCUUGCUCAGCUGUUUCUUAAUCACUAUCCAUGAAAAAUAUGGACCAGGAUAUACCAAAAGAAAUACUGAUGAUAGCUUGGUGGCAAGUUUGGCCCAGGAUUCAGAAACCCAGUUUUAGAGAAGAAAAUGAAAGCUCUUCCAUGUAUCUUCUUGAACGUUGUAGAAUGAGCAUUGCAGCAUAA